GCAUUUGUGGUGUAGUGGUCAGCACACUCGGUGCAUAUUCGAGAAGUCCGAGGUUCGAGUCCCGGCGACGGCA
rnacentral:tRNA from 1 species